GGUUAAGCGACUAAGCGUACACGGUGGAUGCCCUGGCAGUCAGAGGCGAUGAAGGACGUGCUAAUCUGCGAAAAGCGUCGGUAAGGUGAUAUGAACCGUUACAGCCGGCGAUGUCCGAAUGGGGAAACCCAGUGCAAUUCGUUGCACUAUCGUUAACUGAAUACAUAGGUUAACGAGGCGAACCGGGGGAACUGAAACAUCUAAGUACCCCGAGGAAAAGAAAUCAACCGAGAUUCCCCCAGUAGCGGCGAGCGAACGGGGAGCAGCCCAGAGUCUGAAUCAGCUUGUGUGUUAGUGGAACGGUCUGGAAAGUCCGACGGUACAGGGUGAUAGUCCCGUACACCAAAAUGCACAGGCUGUGAACUCGAAGAGUAGGGCGGGACACGUGGUAUCCUGUCUGAAUAUGGGGGGACCAUCCUCCAAGGCUAAAUACUCCUGACUGACCGAUAGUGAACCAGUACCGUGAGGGAAAGGCGAAAAGAACCCCGGCGAGGGGAGUGAAAAAGAACCUGAAACCGUGUACGUACAAGCAGUGGGAGCACCUUCGGGUGUGACUGCGUACCUUUUGUAUAAUGGGUCAGCGACUUAUAUUCUGUAGCAAGGUUAACCGUAUAGGGGAGCCGCAGGGAAACCGAGUCUUAACUGGGCGUUAAGUUGCAGGGUAUAGACCCGAAACCCGGUGAUCUAGCCAUGGGCAGGUUGAAGGUUGGGUAACACUAACUGGAGGACCGAACCGACUAAUGUUGAAAAAUUAGCGGAUGACUUGUGGCUGGGGGUGAAAGGCCAAUCAAACCGGGAGAUAGCUGGUUCUCCCCGAAAGCU
rnacentral:rRNA from 1 species